GGCUUGAGCUCCAGGUAAUCCUGGGGGAGGAUUUCCCUUCUGUGAUAAAGGAUGAAAGGUUUGUAAAAACGGUUGCAAAAACUGAGAGAUGCAAACCUGAGAGAAUGAUUGACAGGAGCAUGUGACUAAGGGUCACAUGGGAGCCUGAGCCUUGGGAUCUGGGAAAGUUUUAUGCCCAAUGGUGGCUUCAUCUGAGUCUGCUCUCCUGGAAGGACCUAAGGCUUGAAGAGGAUUUUUCCUGUGACCAACAGAGGAAAGAGGUUUUCUGGAUUUGGCUGCUGGACCUACUUGGACAUCUACCAACUGAAGAAUAGAUCCUGGCCCUAUUUGAUGGGACUCCUGCUGAGCCAGUACGAAGAAGGAGCAUAUUUAUGGUACUGUCUUCAUCUCUUGUGAGCAGCAUUAACCAAUGGUUCCUUAUUGUUGACCCUCUAUGGCUGUCAGGAGAUCCAUGAGGAAGAUGGAGCACAAAUUUUUGUUCAUGCAAAAAGGCACAGAAAAUCUCUGUAUAGGACAAAGUCCUUCAACAGUACUAGUAUUAGUGACAUGGCUGACUCCAUCAAAGGUGUUCAUUUACUUAAUACAUAUACAAGAAUCGGUGGUCUCAGGGACAGCUAGAUGGUUUGUUAAAUUAAGAACCAAGCGUAUGGAUGGAAGGUCCUGGGUUCAAGUAUGGUUUCAGAUACUUCCUGGGAAGUUACCUGUCAGUAUGCAGGGUAGAGUGGCCUUGCCAGGGAAGGGUGUGGAGCCACAAGUAUGA
rnacentral:lncRNA from 1 species